rnacentral:rRNA from 1 species
CAGCGAUCAGUAGCUGGUCUGAGAGGACGAUCAGCCACACUGGGACUGAGACACGGNCCAGACUCCUACGGGAGGCAGCAGUGGGGAAUUUUCCGCAAUGGGCGAAAGCCUGACGGAGCAAGACCGCGUGAGGGAGGAAGGCUCUUGGGUUGUAAACCUCUUUUCUCAGGGAAGAAGCUCUGACGGUACCUGAGGAAUCAGCCUCGGCUAACUCCGUGCCAGCAGCCGCGGUAAUACGGAGGAGGCAAGCGUUAUCCGGAAUUAUUGGGCGUAAAGCGUCCGCAGGUGGCGAUUCAAGUCUGCUGUCAAAGCACGGGGCUUAACUCCGUUAAGGCAGUGGAAACUGAAUAGCUAGAGUGCCGUAGGGGUAGAGGGAAUUCCCGGUGUAGCGGUGAAAUGCGUAGAGAUCGGGAAGAACAUCGGUGGCGAAAGCGCUCUACUGGACGGCAACUGACACUCAGGGACGAAAGCUAGGGGAGCGAAUGGGAUUAGAUACCCCAGUAGUCCUAGCUGUAAACGAUGGAUACUAGGUGUAGCUUGUAUCGACCCGAGCUGUGCCGAAGCUAACGCGUUAAGUAUCCCGCCUGGGGAGUACGCACGCAAGUGUGAAACUCAAAGGAAUUGACGGGGGCCCGCACAAGCGGUGGAGUAUGUGGUUUAAUUCGAUGCAACGCGAAGAACCUUACCAGGGCUUGACAUGUCCGGAAUCCCGGUGAAAGCUGGGAGUGCCUUCGGGAGCCGGAACACAGGUGGUGCAUGGCUGUCGUCAGCUCGUGUCGUGAGAUGUUGGGUUAAGUCCCGCAACGAGCGCAACCCUCGUCUUUAGUUGCCAGCAUUAAGUUGGGCACUCUAGAGAGACUGCCGGUGACAAACCGGAGGAAGGUGGGGAUGACGUCAAGUCAGCAUGCCCCUUACGCUCUGGGCGACACACGUACUACAAUGGUCGGGACAGAGGGCAGCGAACCUGCGAAGGCAAGCUAAUCCCAGCAAACUCGGCCUCAGUUCAGAUCGCAGGCUGCAACUCGCCUGCGUGAAGGAGGAAUCGCUAGUAAUCGCCGGUCAGAAUACGGCGGUGAAUCCGUUCCCGGGCCUUGUACACACCGCCCGUCACACCAUGGAAGCUGGCCACGCCCGAAGUCGUUACCCUAACCUUUCGGGGAAGGGGA